CUUGAGUUGUAGCUACAGUUUUUAGCAACAUCAUUUUCAGAGUGCAGUAAGAAGAAACAAUCCCUGUAUGGAUUGACUCGUGAAUGGGUGUGUUUAAAUCCGGAGACUGGCGUAGUUAGUUGUCCCUUUUUAAUGUUGGUAAAAGAAAGGUUUACCGGGCUUCGGCACUUACCUUCACACGUGCCUGGACGCUGGGACCAUGUCUGAUCCUCCAUACAUUCUAUGAUAGCGUUACCCACCAAAUGGUAUCCGGUAAUGCAUCUGUACUCCAGUUUCUUUCCCACAAGGUACACAUCCUUAGGAUCC